GAGGCCCCAAUUCGCGAGCGGUGCCGAGCGACGGUCCAAGGCUCGGAAUGAUCCCGUGAGGCCACAACCUCCGGUUCGUUCCCCGCCGAGGCCGGUUCCCUCGCGUCCGUGCGCCGGGAAGGCGGUCUCCACCGGGAGAUAUGUCAACUUCGACUAUCUCUCUCGGGAAGGCUUCACUAUAGGGCAUAGGUUGAGGGCCCAAGGACUAGAGUUCUUUUGCUUCCUAGAUCUCCCCACUUACCUAGGGCUAGUUAGGGAGUUUUAUGGGACAGUGUCUAGGGGUAAUGGUGGAAUACAGGGAACCGUAGCGGGUGUCCCUUUAUUCAUUUCAGAGGAUUUUAUAGCACAAAUCCUACAU
rnacentral:lncRNA from 1 species